rnacentral:rRNA from 1 species
UACGAAGGGGACUAGCGUUGUUCGGAAUCACUGGGCGUAAAGCGCACGUAGGCGGAUAUGUCAGUCAGGGGUGAAAUCCCGGGGCUCAACCUCGGAACUGCCCUUGAUACAGCAUAUCUUGAGUCCGAUAGAGGUGGGUGGAAUUCCUAGUGUAGAGGUGAAAAUUCGUAGAUAUUGGGAAGAACACCGGUGGCGAAGGCGGCUAUCUGGACCGACAUUGACGCUGAGGCGCGAAAGCGUGGGGAGCAAACAGGG